GCCUAUUGUUCUCAAUCGGGA
rnacentral:sRNA from 1 species